rnacentral:rRNA from 1 species
UUUUCUUUUGUACUGGAGAUUUUGUUACUUUGAGUAAAUUAGAGUGUUCAAAGCAAACAGUUAAAGCAUUUUACUGCGUUUGAAUACUACAGCAUGGAAUAACAAAAUUGAACAAGUCAAAACUCUGUUCCUUUUUCUUAUUUUGGCUUAGUUACGAUUAAUAGGAGUAGCUUGGGGGCAUUUGUAUUCAGAUGUCAGAGGUGAAAUUCUUAGAUUUUCUGGAGACAAACAACUGCGAAAGCAUUUGCCUAAAAUACUUCCAUUAAUCAAGAACGAAAGUUAAGGGAGUGAAGACGAUCAGAUACCGUCGUAAUCUUAACCAUAAACUAUGCCGACUAGGUUUUGGAUGAAAGAUUUUUAAAUAAGAAAAUUCCUUUUGGAAAUUUCUUAGAUUGCUUCCUUCAGUACCUUAUGAGAAAUCAAAGUCUUUGGGUUCUGGGGCGAGUAUUCGCGCAAGCGAGAAAGUUAAAAGAAUUGACGGAAGGGCACCACCAGGCGUGGAGCUUGCGGCUUAAUUUGACUCAACACGGGGAAACUCACUAGUUUAAGACAAGAGUAGGAUUGACAGAUUAAUAGCUCUUUCUUGAUUUCUUGGAUGGUGAUGCAUGGCCGUUUUUAGUUCGUGAAUAUGAUUUGUCUGGUUAAUUCCGAUAACGAACGAGAUCUUAACCUGCUAAUUAGCGGCGAAUACGUUAUAUUCCUAC